AAAUAUUGGGACAUAUAAAAAAAGACAACUCUGUUCCGCAGAGUAGCUGUUGACAUUAUAGUUGCGCAGGCACUUUGUUGACUCUAGAGAACCUCGGGCCAAUCGCACAUCCCCGUGGCGGCGACUUUGCAUGCGGAUGUCAUCCAUAUCAACUUUCGAUGCCAGUUUCUGCGCCUACCAUGGUGACCACGGGUAACGGGGAAUCAGGGUUCCAUUCCAUACAGGGACCCUGAGAAACGGCUACCACAUGCAAGGAAGGCAGCAGGCGCGCAAAUGACCCACUCCCGACGCGGGAAGGUAGUGAU